rnacentral:rRNA from 1 species
AGCGAACGCUGGCGGCAGGCUUAACACAUGCAAGUCGAGCGGGCAUAGCAAUAUGUCAGCGGCAGACGGGUGUGUAACGCGUGGGAACGUACCUUUUGGUUCGGAACAACACAGGGAUACUUGUGCUAAUACCGGAUAAGCCCUUACGGGGAAAGAUUUAUCGCCGAAAGAUCGGCCCGCGUCUGAUUAGCUAGUUGGUGAGGUAAUGGCUCACCAAGGCGACGAUCAGUAGCUGGUCUGAGAGGAUGAUCAGCCACAUUGGGACUGAGACACGGCCCAAACUCCUACGGGAGGCAGCAGUGGGGAAUAUUGGACAAUGGGCGCAAGCCUGAUCCAGCCAUGCCGCGUGAGUGAUAAAGGCCCUAGGGUUGUAAAGCUCUUUUGUGCGGGAAGAUAAUGACGGUACCGCAAGAAUAAGCCCCGGCUAACUUCGUGCCAGCAGCCGCGGUAA